UAAGGAAUAUUGGACAAUGGAGGCAACUCUGAUCCAGCCAUGCCGCGUGAAGGAAUAAGGCCCUAUGGGUUGUAAACUUCUUUUAGACGGGACAAAACCCCUUUACGUGUAAAGGGUUGAUGGUACUGUCAGAAUAAGCAUCGGCUAACUUCGUGCCAGCAGCCGCGGUAAUACGAAGGAUGCAAGCGUUAUCCGGAAUUAUUGGGUUUAAAGGGUGCGUAGGCGGACUAAUAAGUCAGUGGUGAAAGCCUGCAGCUUAACUGCAGAAUUGCCAUUGAUACUGUUAGUCUUGAGUACAGUUGAGGUAGGCGGAAUGUGUCAUGUAGCGGUGAAAUGCUUAGAUAUGACACAGAACACCGAUUGCGAAGGCAGCUUGCUAAGCUGUAACUGGCGCUGAGGCACGAAAGCGUGG
rnacentral:rRNA from 1 species